AGUGAACGCUGGCGGUAGGCCUAACACAUGCAAGUCGAACGGCAGCACAGUAAGAGCUUGCUCUUACGGGUGGCGAGUGGCGGACGGGUGAGGAAUACAUCGGAAUCUACUUUUUCGUGGGGGAUAACGUAGGGAAACUUACGCUAAUAGCGCAUACGACCUACGGGUGAAAGCAGGGGAUCUUCGGACCUUGCGCGAUUGAAUGAGCCGAUGUCGGAUUAGCUAGUUGGCGAGGUAAAGGCCCACCAAGGCGACGAUCCGUAGCUGGUCUGAGAGGAUGAUCAGCCACACUGGAACUGAGACACGGUCCAGACUCCUACGGGAGGCAGCAGUAGGGAAUAUUGGACAAUGGGCGCAAGCCUGAUCCAGCAAUACCGCGUGAGUGAAGAAGGCCUUCGGGUUGUAAAACCCUUUUGUUGGGAAAGAAAAACAGCAGGUUAAUACCCCGCUGUUCUGACGGUACCCAAAGAAUAAGCACCGGCUAACUUCGUG
rnacentral:rRNA from 1 species